ensembl:snRNA U4 U4 spliceosomal RNA
AGCUUUCUACAAUGGCAGUAUCAUAGCCAAUGAGGUUUAUCUGAGACGCAAUUAUUGCUAUUGAAAAUUUCUCCCAAUGAUAGAGCCAUUUUGCAAAAGGAUUAUUAUAAAACUGAACAUGUGUACAGU